UACGUGGGUGGCAAGCGUUGUCCGGAUUUACUGGGCGUAAAGAGCGCGCAGGCGGUCGUUCAAGUCGCGUGUGAAAGCCCCCGGCUCAACUGGGGAGGGUCACGCGAUACUGAUCGACUCGAAGGCAGGAGAGGGUAGUGGAAUUCCCGGUGUAGUGGUGAAAUGCGUAGAUAUCGGGAGGAACACCAGUGGCGAAGGCGACUACCUGGCCUGGUCCUGACACUCAGGAGCGAAAGCGUGGGGAGCGAUCCGG
rnacentral:rRNA from 1 species